GUAAUACGUAGGGCGCAAGCGUUAUCCGGAAUUAUUGGGCGUAAAGAGCUCGUAGGCGGUUUGUCGCGUCUGCUGUGAAAUCUGGGGGCUCAACCCCCAGCCUGCAGUGGGUACGGGCAGACUAGAGUGCGGUAGGGGAGAUUGGAAUUCCUGGUGUAGCGGUGGAAUGCGCAGAUAUCAGGAGGAACACCGAUGGCGAAGGCAGAUCUCUGGGCCGUAACUGACGCUGAGGAGCGAAAGGGUGGGGAGCAAACAGGCUUAGAUACCCUGGUAGUCCACCCCGUAAACGUUGGGAACUAGUUGUGGGGUCCAUUCCACGGAUUCCGUGACGCAGCUAACGCAUUAAGUUCCCCGCCUGGGGAGUACGGCCGCAAGGCUAAAACUCAAAGGAAUUGACGGGGACCCGCACAAGCGGCGGAGCAUGCGGAUUAAUUCGAUGCAACGCGAAGAACCUUACCAAGGCUUGACAUACACGAGAACGCUGCAGAAAUGUAGAACUCUUUGGACACUCGUGAACAGGUGGUGCAUGGUUGUCGUCAGCUCGUGUCGUGAGAUGUUGGGUUAAGUCYCGCAACGAGCGCAACCCUCGUUCUAUGUUGCCAGCACGUAAUGGUGGGAACUCAUGGGAUACUGCCGGGGUCAACUCGGAGGAAGGUGGGGAUGACGUCAAAUCAUCAUGCCCCUUAUGUCUUGGGCUUCACGCAUGCUACAAUGGCCGGUACAAAGGGCUGCAAUACCGCGAGGUGGAGCGAAUCCCAAAAAGCCGGUCCCAGUUCGGAUWGAGGUCUGCAACUCGACCUCA
rnacentral:rRNA from 1 species